rnacentral:rRNA from 1 species
UGGGGAAUAUUGCACAAUGGAGGGAACUCUGAUGCAGCGACGCCGCGUGAACGAAGAAGGCUUUCGAGUCGUAAAGUUCUUUUAUAUGGGAAGAUAAUGACGGUACCAUAAGAAGAAGCCCCGGCUAACUACGUGCCAGCAGCCGCGGUAAUACGUAGGGGGCUAGCGUUGUCCGGAAUCACUGGGCGUAAAGGGUUCGCAGGCGGAAAUGCAAGUCAGGUGUAAAAGGCAGUAGCUUAACUACUGUAAGCAUUUGAAACUGCAUAUCUUGAGAAGAGUAGAGGUAAGUGGAAUUUUUAGUGUAGCGGUGAAAUGCGUAGAUAUUAAAAAGAAUACCGGUGGCGAAGGCGACGUACUGGGCUCAUUCUGACGCUGAGGAACGAAAGCGUGGGUAGCAAACAGG